UAGCUAGUUGGUGAGGUCAAGGCUUACCAAGGCGACGAUCUGUAGCGGGUCUGAGAGGAUGAUCCGCCACACUGGAACUGAGACACGGUCCAGACUCCUACGGGAGGCAGCAGUGGGGAAUUUUGGACAAUGGGGGCAACCCUGAUCCAGCCAUGCCGCGUGAGUGAAGAAGGCCUUCGGGUUGUAAAGCUCUUUCGGCCGGGAAGAAAUCGCAUGGGCCAAUACCCUGUGUGGAUGACGGUACCGGAAUAAGAAGCACCGGCUAACUACGUGCCAGCAGCCGCGGUAAUACGUAGGGUGCGAGCGUUAAUCGGAAUUACUGGGCGUAAAGCGUGCGCAGGCGGUUUUGUAAGACAGGCGUGAAAUCCCCGGGCUUAACCUGGGAACUGCGUUUGUGACUGCAAGGCUAGAGUACGGCAGAGGGGGGUGGAAUUCCACGUGUAGCAGUGAAAUGCGUAGAGAUGUGGAGGAACACCAAUGGCGAAGGCAGCCCCCUGGGUCGAUACUGACGCUCAUGCACGAAAGCGUGGGUAGCAAACAGGAUUAGAUACCCUGGUAGUCCACGCCCUAAACUAUGUCAACCAGGUGUUGGGUGGGUAAAACCAUUUAGUACCGUAGCUAACGCGUGAAGUUGACCGCCUGGGGAGUACGGCCGCAAGGUUAAAACUCAAAGGAAUUGACGGGGACCCGCACAAGCGGUGGAUGAUGUGGAUUAAUUCGAUGCAACGCGAAAAACCUUACCUACCCUUGACAUGCCAGGAACUUGCCAGAGAUGGCUUGGUGCCCGAAAGGGAGCCUGGACACAGGUGCUGCAUGGCUGUCGUCAGCUCGUGUCGUGAGAUGUUGGGUUAAGUCCCGCAACGAGCGCAACCCUUGUCGUUAAUUGCCAUCAUCUAGUUGGGCACUUUAACGAGACUGCCGGUGACAAACCGGAGGAAGGUGGGGAUGACGUCAAGUCCCCAUGGCCCUUAUGGGUAGGGCUUCACACGUCAUACAAUGGUCGGUACAAAGGGUUGCCAAGCCGCGAGGCGGAGCCAAUCCCAGAAAGCCGAUCGUAGUCCGGAUUGCAGGCUGCAACUCGCCUGCAUGAAGUCGGAAUCGCUAGUAAUCGUGGAUCAGCAUGUCACGGUGAAUACGUUCCCGGGUCUUGUACACACCGCCCGUCACACCAUGAGAGCGGGUUCCGCCAGAAGUAGGUAGCCUAACCGCAAGGGGGGCGCUUACCACGGCGGGGUUCGUGACUGGGGUGAAGUCGUAACAAGGUAGCCGUAGGGGAACCUGCGGCUG
rnacentral:rRNA from 1 species